rnacentral:misc_RNA from 1 species
UACAGAGGGUGCAAGCGUUAAUCGGAAAUACUGGGCGUAAAGCGUGCGUAGGCGGCUUUUUAAGUCGGAUGUGAAAUCCCCGAGCUUAACUUGGGAAUUGCAUUCGCUACUGGGAAGCUAGAGUAUGGGAGAGGAUGGUAGAAAUCCAGGUGUAGCGGUGAAAUGCGUAGAUAUCAGGGGGAAUACCGAUGGCGAAGGCAGCCAUCUGGCCUAAUACUGACGCUGAGGUACGAAAGCAUGGGGAGCAAACAGG